UUGGUUAUUUGUCCAAAGUCGCGUUCUUACUAAUGUCAACAGACUAGAAGAAGACUCACCUAUGAUCCUCAUUGCAAGCACUGCCCCGGAAUACAAGAAACUAUGACCCAUCUCUCUGUAGAGAUUGUCCUAAAGCUGCCACAACCUGGAAUGUUAUCGGUGUUCCUAUUUCUAUGCAAAGAACCUUUACUCUAGACUGGGAAGCCUGGAUUGCUGCAAAUAUCCUUCAGAAAGGAAGAAGCUUAUGGAAUCUUUCUCCAGCUGUUUAUUCACUCACAUCCACCGUGAGAGAAAUAUGGUUGCAGAUAGGUUAGCAAAGAAAAGCAUUGAUCAGGAUCGGGGGUUAUGCAGGCUGCCCCAUUUGCCUAACUUCAUUGUCCAAGACGUCCUUGAUGAUGCUAAUGGCCUUGUAAGGCCUAGAGCUGUUGCCACAGCUAUUUCUUAGUUCUUUCUGUUUUUUGCUUCUUUUCUGGGUCUUUGACCCCCUUUGUACCAAAAAAAAUAAUAAUAAUUCCUUACUUGGAAAAUGUUAAUAAAAUCAGAUUUUGGUUUUUAUA